rnacentral:rRNA from 1 species
UACGUAGGGUGCAAGCGUUAAUCGGAAUUACUGGGCGUAAAGCGUGCGCAGGCGGUUAUGUAAGACAGAUGUGAAAUGCCCGGGCUUAACCUGGGAACUGCAUUUGUGACUGCAUGGCUAGAGUUUGGCAGAGGGGGGUAGAAUUCCACGUGUAGCAGUGAAAUGCGUAGAUAUGUGGAGGAACACCGAUGGCGCAAGGCAGCCCCCUGGGUCAAGAUUGACGCUCAUGCACGAAAGGCGUGGGGAGCAAACAGG